rnacentral:rRNA from 1 species
UACGUAGGGGGCAAGCGUUGUCCGGAAUUAUUGGGCGUAAAGCGCGCGCAGGCGGUUCUUUAAGUCUGGUGUAUAAGUGCGGGGCUCAACCCCGUGAGGCACUGGAAACUGGGGAACUUGAGUGCAGAAGAGGAGAGCGGAAUUCCACGUGUAGCGGUGAAAUGCGUAGAGAUGUGGAGGAACACCAGUGGCGCAAGCGAUCCCCUGGGCUAGACCUGACGCUGAGGGACGAAAGCGUGGGGAGCAAACGGG